AUCGGUGACAGGUGCUGCAUGGCUGUCGUCAGCUCGUGUCGUGAGAUGUCGGUUAAGUCCGCUAACCGAGCGCAACCCUCACUGUGUAUUAUAUGUGUCACACGGGGACCGCCGGGUCUUAAAGCCGGAGGAAGGUGGGGAUGACGUCAAGUCAGCAUGGCCUUUAUAUCCUGGGCUACACACACGCUACAAUGGCCAACACAAUAGGUUGCUAAGCCGCGAGGUGGAGCCAAUCCAAUAAAGUUGGUCUCAGUUCAGAUUGUAGGCUGCAACCCGCCUGCAUGAAGAUGGAGUUGCUAGUAACCGCAGGUCAGCUAUACUGCGGUGAAUACGUUCCCGGGGCUU
rnacentral:rRNA from 1 species